rnacentral:rRNA from 1 species
AUGAACCGCCAUCUUUUGCAUCAGCGAUGGAAAUUUUUGACCGGCGGGCUCGACGAGGCCGGCGUCGUGCUCCUCUUCCGCGACAAGGUGUACCUCCAGCCCAACAAGAUUGUGGAUCUUGUAAGAAAAGCUAUGCCCCUUGCAGUGACACCUGAGGAUGUUCCAAGAAAGGAAGAGCUCAAGCAACUCCAGACACAUUUGGAAGAUAUCAACAAGCUCGCACACAAGCAAGUCCGGCGUAUCCUCUGGUCUGGGCUAGGGUUCUUGAUCAUGCAGGUCGGGCUCUUCUUCAGGCUCACCUUCUGGGAGUUCUCGUGGGACGUCAUGGAGCACAUCACAUUCUUCACAACUGCGACGGGCCUGGUUGUUGGGUACGCCUACUUCCUCAUCACAUCAAGGGAUCCGACAUACCGGGACUUCAUGGAGAGGAUGUUCCAGUCCCGGUAGAGGAAGUUGAUCCAGAGGCAGAAGUUCAACCUGGACAGGUACCUGGAGCUCCAAAGGUGCUGCAAAGAUCCUCUGGAGAAGAUCUGCGGCACCAGCCAUUUCUCCAACGCUGACAUCGCUCAUCUACACGAACUGUCUGUUCACAAGUGA